AAUCCAACCAUGGCCAAGAAGAAAACCCCAACAAACAACAAAAAACAAAUCUUCAGAAGGAAACUUUGGACUUCUAAUGCUGUCGAUUUAAGGAGAGGAAAACAGAGGCAAUGGUCUUCAAAAUCAUGGAGCACCAACUAGCAAACUUUAGAAAUGCCGGCUCUUAAUUCUACCACAAAAACGAGAAACCUACAUCUUGCCUUACAAGAAACCAAA
rnacentral:misc_RNA from 1 species